rnacentral:rRNA from 1 species
AAUUUUCUUGCAUGAAAAAAAAAAUAUGCUUGAAAGGCUCUCUAGAUCUGCCGAAAUAACAAUUUGUACCCUAUAAGACAUGUUUUCUUUUAAAAAGAAAUAAUGAUGAUUAAUGAGCUAUUAUUAAUGAUAUAAAUUCAAAUUACCAUAGGGAUAACAGCAUAAUCUUUUUUGAGAGUACAUAUCGACAAAAAGGGUUGUGACCUCGAUGUUGGGUUAAGAUAAUAUUAAAAUGUAGAAGUUUUAAAUAAUAAGUCUGUUCGACUUUUAAAAUCUUACA